CUUUUGCUGCUUAGAGGAGUAAAUUUCAGUAAUAUGGAAAAGCCUUGUUUCUUGGCAGUACUGAGUAAAUGAAGUUUGACUGUGUUAAGUCUGAAUGGGCUAAUUUCAUAUUUGUUGACAGGUUGCUCUGUUGUCAUUCUCAAAUAAUUUCCUAUUUUAAUACUUUGUUUUCCCAUCGAUUCCUCUAGGGAAAAGAAGAUCACAAGAGACUCCUAGGAUCUCAAAGUUGAGAGGGACAUUGCUGGUCACCUAGUCCCAGCCCUCCCUGGUGGACGAUGCUUUCCACAACAUCCCUGACUAUGGCCACUCCAUAAAUGCUUGCUGACAGUGUUCACUGAGAAGCAGCAGCUCAGGCUAGGAAUGAUGAUUAACCUUGUGUUGACACCCAGCUGUGGUGUCCCUGCCAGCAUACCAGAAUGAGAAUGAUCUUUGAACCCCAACUCCAAAUGCUAUACUCAGAGUGGGUGGGAGGGGCCCCUCAGAUUCUUUGCAGGGAUGGAGUUAAUUACAUUUGUGGUUUCUGCAUCCAGAGUUCCUGGGAGGAAGUCAGGCCCUGCAAAUACUCUGCAAAUGGAAUUGGCUUGCUUGCAAUGAAACUGAUUUUUGCUUAUGCUAUUUAUAGAUCUCCAUCAUUUCUUUCCCUGGAAGGAGGCUGGGAAAGGGAAGGCUAUUAGGGCUAUGUUAAAGUCAGUAUAGUAUAGGGACAAGAGUACUGAAUUCGAAUGGUGGCUCUGCUGUUUGCUAUGUGGAUAAUGUCAGGUUUCCAUAGCUGUAAAAUGGGGGGACUGGGCUAGAUGAUCUAACUAGAUUCUAAAAUACUAACUUCUGGCCCAAAAGAAUUGGGGGCUAUCUUAAAAUAUCCUCUGCAUCAGGGUUAAAUGAGAGGAUACUGGCAAAUGUUGGGGCAAAACAGAAGAAAUUACUGUUUCUAUCCAGCAAACUGGCACAUAAUAUAUCAUAGCAUAUACACAAUUUCACAUUUAAUUUCUUAGUGGGGAAAAUAUUAGGAGCAAUGAAAUUUUCUCAUAGAAGCACUAUUCACAAGAGGCAGAUCUUCUGAUUUCCAAACUGGGUUCCAGUCUGGGAAAUGCUGCUCUAGCAGAAAGAGUCUUGGUUUGGUGGUCUCAGCUCUACCAUUUAUUAGCUGUGUGACCCAGUUUACUACUCAAGUCCCUUCAGCAGUGUGGUAUACUGGUUUGGGAGUCACUGGAUCUGGGUUUGAAUUCUGACUCUGGUAUUAUCUGUGACCUUUGGAAACUGACUUUCAUUCUCUGGGCCUGUUUCUUCUUCUUUUUAAAGUGGGGAGAUUGGACUAAAUGAGUCUUUAGGUCCUACCUAGUUAUCUCUUACUUCAGUGGAUGUAUGAUCUCAUCUGCAUGGGCAUUCCCUCCAGCAGGGAAGAUCAAAAGCCAUCUUGUCUUCUUUAUCUGUUCAGCUCUAGUCUAAGUUUCCUAGGCAUUCCCCACAAGGGGUCCACCUAAGAGACCUUCCUCUAGAUUUCUUGACCCUAUUUGGAUAAGAGUGGAGCAUGCAGGCUCUCCAUUGCUCUGUGCUCUCACCAUGACCAGCCCACAGACUUUCUGAUCAUACUUUUAUGAAGAUAUCUUGCUUGUAUGUCACUUGUACUGUGCAGCUUGUUUUCACCCACCAUGUGCCUUCCCAAAGCCCUGUGCAUAACACAACACUUUAAUUCUUCAGAAGCCCUGGAAUUCUGAGACUCUUAGUACCACUAGAAAAAUACUAAUGCUAAAAAAAAUCCUGCUCUCGAGCUCAUAAAUUCUUUCUUGCUGAACCUUAGCUUUCAAAUGUGUAAAGGAAGGACGAUCAUUGGACUACCUACUGCACAGUAGUGCCAUGGGGCUGUUAAAGCAGCUAAUUUGUAAGCCUAAAUUUUGAUAUAAAUAUGAGAUGUGGCAAUGAUAUUACCCAGGCAGACAAGCCAAGGGAAUGGUCUGGGUGCGUGGGACUGGACUGAGGACUGUUAUACAGAGUUUUGAACAAUGUGAAGAAGGGAUCAAGGGCUGGAGUGAUGCCACGUUCCAUGCCUUGUUGUCAUCAGGAGAGCAGACUGAAUGAUGAUCAUAACUACUGACAUUUCUAUAUUGCUUUAAGGUUUGCAAAGUGCUUUAUAUAACAUCAGCUCAUUUGAGCAUUGGUGGUUAUAGGUACUGUCCACAGAUAGUAUUGGCUUGAAAAUCAUGGGAAGGCCUAAAAGUCGUAGCUAUAAAAGUUAUAUUUCUCCUUCCUUUUUCUUUGGUAAUUUAUACUUUAAUGAUGUGUUUGCAGAGAGACCCUAAUGAGUUGGAGCAUGUGUAGAGAAGGGUAGCCAGGACGGAGAGAGGGUUGGAGACCAGACAACAUGAAGCCAGAUUCAAGAAACUGGAGAUUGGUAGGGGGGCAGGACAAAUUUCUUCAAGUGUCUGAAAGCUAUUUACACAGAAGAGGGAACAUUUUUAUCCUGCUUAGUUUCAGAGGACAGAGGACACAACGAGGAUUAGUAAUAGGUGGAAUAUAGAGAGGCUGAUUUGGGCUAUAUGAAGAAUAAACUUCCUAAUGAUCAGACCUGUCCAAAAGUGGAAUGGGCUACCAUUUCAGGGAAGUGGUAUAUUACGAGAGGUCUUUAUGUUGCAUCUAGAUAAAUACUGAGAUACAAUAAUGAUGAUGAUUAAAAUCAAAACAAUAUUUGCAUUUUUGGAGCAUUUUAAGGUUUGUAAAGCACUUUACUAAUAUUAUUUCAUUUUAUCCUCAUAAUAACCUUGGGAAUUAGGAACUAUGGUUAUUCCCAUUUUAUAAAUCAGGAAACUGAGGCAAAUAUAGUAAGUGACUUAUCCAGGGUUAUAUAGCUAGUAAGUUUUUGAAGCUGGGUUUGAAUUCAGGUCUUCUUGUCGCUAGGUCCAGAACUCUAUCCUCUGUGCUACCUAGCUGACCUAAAGGAGAUUCCUUAUAAAUUAUGACUCUGGGAUCCCCAUCUCCUUUGCUCUCCUGAUUAUAGUCUUUUAAAUCCAUUCUUUUUUUUUUUUAAUUCUCAUAGCAACUGACUGAGAGGACAUAGAGUAGAGCUUAUUCUUGACUCAGAGAGGAAAUAAUUUGGACUGUGUGAUACAGUUCUUAAGUCUUGGGAAAAUGACCAUUUUAGGAAAAAAACAUUAAUUUAAAAAGCUCUUAUCUUUUCUCUUAAAAUCAAUACCGUGUAUUGGUUCCAAGGCAAAAUAAUGGUAAGGGCCAGCAAUUGGAGGUUAGGUGACUUGCCUAGGGUCACUCAGCUAAUAAGUGUCUAAGGUCACAUUUGAACCUAGGACUUCCCAUCUCCAGUUUUAGCUCUCUCUCCACUGAGCCACCAAAGCUGCCUCCUAAUUUUCUUUUAAAGGAAAAAAACCCACUCCUUUCAGAUGUGUUGUUAAAUAUUAUAUAGGCAUACUCCAUGGAGGGAAGACUGUCCUGUUCUACCCUGAACAAGAGACCAAAAAUUAAGGACUCCUCGCUCUGAGGAGUUUUCUCAUUUUAAUGUCUUCUGUAGGUUCAUUCUCGUCUCUUUUCAAAUCAGAAGCGGAUUCUGAGGUCUUUCCAUUUCAAACAGAGCAAGCUUACCUUAUAGAAGAGCUUUCCUAUUUCCCAGUUUUCAAAUAACCAAAAGCCAAGUAGUACAAUUAUUUUUAUACAUUUAUAUACAGUAGAAAGAAACUGAGGCUCAGAGAGAGGUUGUGACUCUAAAAUCAUAGAAUUUUAGAUGUAGAAAGGACCUUAGAGGUCAAUCUACCAGAAAUAGCUUUCAUGAGCUUAUUAGGAAUCCCCUUUAUAGCAUCCCUUAUAAUCUUCUAGCUUGAAAACUUCUGGAGCACUCACUAACUCCCAAGGCAACUUAUUUCACUGUGAGACAGGCUGGAUUUUUAUGAAAUUCUUCCUUCUGUUGAGCCAGAAUUUGCCUCUCUUUAUGAUUUCUCCUUCACUGGUCUUCGGGUUACCCUCUAGAGAUGUGCAAGAGCACAUAUAAUCCCUCUCCCACAUGCUUGACAAAUGGUCACAAAGACUUCUAGAAUCAUGAAAAACUGUGAGGAAUGUGCCAUCAUUUCUACUUUGGUCAUUAUUAUUACCCCUAUCAGUGGAGGUAUGUUGGGCAUACGACUCAGGAAACCUAACUAGAUGGACAAGAAAUCUGAGAGAAGUAAAUGAAAUCUCCACAUUAGCCACAAAUCUCAUCACAGGAUAGAUCAGGAAGACUCUAGUUACAGUUUAUUUAACUGGGCUGAUUAACCAUCUCCAGACACACAGUAAGAGAACAUCAAAAGCUUAAAAUUCAUCUGUAAUACCAUCAAAAACAAACUUUAAAUACCCUUAUUUUCUUUCAUUCCUUUGUUCCUGUACCUAUCUAGGCACAAAUGAGUUCUUCUGCCUACCUUACGCAAUGCUUGUACCAUUGGUAUACAUUUAUUUUGUUCUAUUUAAAGUACUUGUGUCCAUGUCUUUCUUUAAUUACAAAUGCAUGCUCCUAGAAGGCAAGGAUCUUGCCCUUUUCAUCUUUAGCAUUUCCACACAUAUGGAUGGUACUAGCUAUUGUUCAUUUCUAGGAUCCAUAUUUCAGGAUGGAACUUGAUGAAAUGGAGUGUGUUGAGAUGAGGACCAAGCAUGAUGAAGAAUCUAGACACUAUGCCAUUCAAAUAUUGGUUGAAGGGAAGGCAACAUGGCAGUUAAGGGCAUUGAUGUGAGUCAGAAGAGUUGGGUUCAAAUCUCAUCUCUGAUAACUAAUUACCUUGGGCAAGUCAUUUCUCUUUUCUGUGCAUCAUCUGCAAAAUGAGAUGAGUGCUACAGUCCUGCAGCCACAGACAAGAAAAAGCCAAUCAGAAUUUAUGAGAAUAGGCAGAAAUUAAAAAGAGCUUAAUGGCAAACUGGUGAAAUUUGAAGUGUUGGGGUUACCUGGGCAGUGUGAACUGAAAACCUAAUUCACAGCUGAACUGUGGGAUAUUCACUUUGGAGCCCACCUUCCUUCCUGCUGGGUUCUAAGAGGAAGAGAUAGAAGGAGAACCAAAGGUUUGGUCCUCAUGGCUGCUAGCCAAAAGUUGCAAUGCUUACUUAUUUCACUUAGUUCUGACCAUACCCUUCUGCAUUCUUCUAUAUGUCAAUGUGUCUGACAAAUGCAAAAAUCUGGCAGUCACCUAAAAGAAAUGAGGGGGUUGGACUAGAUGGGCUGUAAGGUCCCUUACAGCAUUUAAAUCUAACAUCUGUGAUUUUAUGUUUAGUUUGGAGAAAAGACUUAAAGAUGAUAUGAUAACUAUCUUUAAGUGUCUGAAAUGCUGCCACAGAAUAGAGAGAUUAAAUUUGUUCUAUCUGGUCCCAAAGGGCAGAAAUAGGAGAAAUGAAGUCACAAGAAGGCAGAUUUCAGAGUAUGGUAAGGAAAAGACUUUCUGACAAUUGGAGCUGUCCAUAAGUGGAAUGGGCUAUGUCAGAAGGAAGCUCAUCUGGGCUCUUCAAAUGGAGCCUGGAUGAUGACUUGUUAGGGAUGUUCUACAGAGGAUCUACUGUGUUCAAGUUCAGCAUAGACUUGGCCUCAGAGAACCUUUCUAAUUCUGAAAUUCUCUGGAUAUGAAAUAUUGUACUUCUCACACUUCAAUGAUCCCUUUGAUUUCACAACUUUAAGAAAGAGCUUUUGACUCUGAGUCAGCAGACCCUGGUUCUAAUCCUGGCGCAGUCACUAAUUGCUGCACUAAAUGUUCUUGAGAACUCCUGGUUCCAGUCUGAGGAAGGUGGCCUGAGAGAAGAGCUUACCCAGUAACUGUUCCAGUCCCCUUUCUUUCAGCAUCUUGAGCUCUUUUUUCUAUUUAUUAUGUACCUUCCUCCCUAAGCCUGUUCCUUCUGCUCUCUCUUCAGAGCUUCCCCUUGCUUUCUGACUCCUCCAGCAGGUAGUGUGUCUCCUUUUUCUCUCCCUGAAUAGACGCUUCAAAUUCAUUGUGCAUAUUCUCUUGCAGGCUCACACACACGUGUGUGUGUGUGUGUGUGUGUGUGUGUGUGUGUGUGUGUGUGUGCAUUUCCCCCCAUUUGUUUGCUCAUUCUGGGCUUGCCAGUGGUUGUUUUUUCUUUCUUUUUUUAAUUGUAAAUUCAAUUCAAACAAAGGACAGACAUGAUAGCUGUCAGCCUCAGUGUCUCCUAGGGAUGGUCACCAUGCAAAUGCUGAAUUAAUGUUCUAGCUGUCCUUGGCUCCUGUCAGACAGCUUUGCGUACAGAGCAGGUCCUCUGGCCCAGCCCAACACCUGCCCUUUGUACUGGGAGACAAGAGCCCUAACAAGCUCACUCCGCAGCAACUGCAAAUAUUGUCAAGAGAGCCACUGAGCUGGUCAUAAUUGGGCAUCAGCCCCAGGACUUAACCCUUUGCAUAAGCAUAACACAAAUAAUAAUAACAACUAACAUUUCUAUGGCAAUUUGCAGUUUACAAAGCACUUUCACAGACAUUAUCUCAUUUGAUCUAUGUUCCAAUGCCUCUUCCAGCAUUGACAUCCUAGAAUUCUAAAGGCUGAACUGUGAGCCUAGGAAGCAACUGCCAUCCAUUCUUUGUUCAAAUGACUUUUAGCAGGAGGUAGAGCUUUGAUCACUAACACCUGACAAUAGAUACAUAAAUCAACAAGGAAUUCAGUGCAGUUGAUGGCUUCUUCCAAAGAGAGAGCUCUAAAGGUGGGGUGUGAGGUCAGAAUCCAGAAAUGAGUGUAGCCUCAGGCAGCAGAUAGAAAUGAAUGCCAGACACGCUUGUGACCAGCCAUAAUCUCAGAAUACAAACUAGGAGGGUCCAGUUCUGACAUGACACGUCUAUGAUUCUAUAUGGACAACGAAUCAUCACACAAACUCAAGAGUUAAAGGAACUUCAGAGGUCACUGAAUACAACUCACAGUACACUGUCUCACAUUGGUGAUUGCCCUCUUGCUGCCUGAUGAUCGCCAGGGAUGAGGAACUCACUACCUCCCAAGGAGGAAGAAAGUACUUCAUGAUAAAGUAAACAACCUCAACAGAAGGGCCUCAACCAGGGAGAUGUUUCUUGUUACUAGAAAUAUUUAAGAAGAGGAUGGAAAACCAUCUCUCAGGGCAUUUGUGGAACAAGACUGAUUGUUCUGCUCCUCCAACCAGACUGGAGCUCCAGAGGACAUGCCUGGGAGGGGCUCCCUCCUGGGGACUCUGCUUCUUCGUCCGGGCCACACACCUGGGACAUCUCAUUCUGCCACCAUCUCUCCUCCCAGCUCGGAGAACGGUGACUCAUUCAACACUACGACUGUUUUUGGAUGAGAAAUGCCAAUGGACCAUCUCUGAUUCAAUUCACUGUCUCUGGGACUUGCCAGACCAAAGCUUGCUUCCUUGUCUGUCUUUCCCCUAUUCAUACUGUCCCUCUGUUAGAAUAGAAGCUCCAUGAGGAGAGAAGCCUUACAGUUUUUGUCUUAGUAUCCCUUGUUCUUAGUACAGUUCCUGGUGAGUAGCAAAUGUUUAACAAACACUUUUUUCAUUCAUUCAUCCAUUUGUUACUUGAACAGAGCAAUAACUUACCAUGUGAGCAUUCUCUUGAACAGUGUAUUAUAUGAAGCCUUCAAAACCACUGUAUUCUAUAUUGUUCUUAACCAGGUCUCUCUGCACGACCUCCACAGAUAUUAGAGAGCUGAGCUUACAGUCAGAAGACAUGAGUUAAAAUCCCAUCUCAGUCACUUGCUAGCUGUGUGACCCCAGACAAGCCACUCAACCUGUUUGUUUUGGUUUGAUCAUCUGUAAAAUGGAGAUAAUAAUAGUACCUAUUGCCCUGGGUGGUUGUGUGAAAUAAAUGAGAUAAUAUUUGUAAAAGCACUUAGCACAGUGCCUAACACAGAGUUGGUGCUGUAUAAAUCCUAAUUAUUGUUAUUAUUAUCAUUAUUGCUAGUAUCAUUUCUUGAGUCUUUAAAAAUAUUUUUAAAAACACUCAGGCUGUACUUUUUUAUUUUUUUUAUUCUUGCUACAUUAUAUGUCUAUUUCAUAUUUUCCAGUUACACAUAUUAUUAAUGAUAGAAUUUAUUCUACUUCAUUACACACAUCCCUCCCCACACACACACAUAUAAGCUAUUGUUACUAAAAUGCAGAAUUAUGAAGGUAGUAUAGUUGGUGGAAAGAACAUUGUACUUGGAACUAAAACAAAAGGGUUUUUGUCCUGGCUCUGUUACUCUGUGUGAUAUACGGCAAAUCCCUUCUCUUCUAGGAGUCUGUUUCUUCCACUAUAAAAAUGAGGGGGCUGAAAUUGACCAGUUGUCCCAACUUUUUAAUAUCAAAAAUCUUUAUAGACCUUUUUAUGAGUAGUUCAACUAUAAUUAUUUAUUAAUUAAAUUAUGAUCACAAAAAACUAUUAUAAAUUGAUUUUCAAUUAUUUUCAAUUAUUUGUAUCUUAUCCAUCACAAUAGCAUAUAUUAUGCAUUUUAAAAAUAGCAAUACAUAAAUAUAUGUGCAAGAUAUUUAUUCAGUCUUACAGAAGGUAGGCUUGCUUAUUUAUUUUACUGGAUCCUGCUGCAUAUUUUGUUGGAGCUAAAUAUAGAUCAAAAUGACAAAGCAUAGUGUGCAUAGACUCACAGUAUCUUUUUUGAUAAUUCUGCAGACCCUCAGAAGGGUCAAUGACACCCUUGGUGAGGACCACUGAACUCAAUGUCUGUGUUUAAGAUCCCGUGCACCUGUAUCAUUCUAUGCCCAACAGUUUAUAUUUUGAAGGCCCUUUCUAGGCCUGGCAUUCUGUGUUCUAAGGCCUCUUCCAGUUCCAACAUUAUUUUCUAUAUUCUACCGGUCUAUGCUUUAACAAUUCUGGGAUUUCUACCAGAAUUCUACUCUAAAAUUCCCUCUAGUUCUAUUUCACAUUCUAUGAUUCUCUGAACAUUUUUUCUAUUACUCGGUACCUGAAGCUAUCUGAAUCAGUCUCUAUGCAGAAGAAACCAGAAGAAACAUCCAGGGUAGAAAUUUCCUGGGCUGUACUGUGACAAUCAACAAGCACUACUUUUCUGAGGGGCCCUUUGAAAAGAGGUUAAAUGUAUAUACCCUGCCAUAAGGCAGAACUGGGACUAAUGGGGAGAAGUUGAAGUUAGAAGUGGUGGGGCAGUUCUGGAUCAAUACAAGGAAAUGAUCCAAUUGUCUCACAUCGAAGCAAGUUUCCUGGAUUGAAUAGGGUGACUAGUGUAGUAAGGGAUUUGUAGCAGGACAGAACAAGUCAGGCAUAGGAUGCUGCAAACCAAGAUUCCACAGAGCAAGGACUGGGUCAACAUUCUAAGCACUGGGUAACUGAGAGGCAGCUGGGGACUGACAGUUGGGAACUGAGAGAGCCUCUCUGGAAGAAGACAGAGAAGGUCUGGAGGUGUCUCUCUUUGAAGGAAAAUAACUUUGGAGCUACCAGGGAAUUGGACCAUCUUCAAGGAGUGGUUGACUGUAUCUGGACUUCAUCAUAUCCCAGGAACCUCAUCAUCCUAAAAGAUCAUAUCAACCCUAAAGCUCACAUCUCAUCAGUACCACCUGUCCCUGGGGCCCUUCCUUCCCUAUAACUGGAGAGAAUGGAAGAUAGAGGAUGGAGAGUAGGGAGUUCUGCCCAAGGUCCUCCAUUUAAGAAGAGUUCCCAGACCAGUCAUCUUUAUAUUUCAUAGCUGGCUGCACUCUUCUGGGCUUCAUCAUGCUCCUGAACUGGAUAUUCAUCCCUAACCCCUUUACCCCCAAUCCCUUUGCAGCUUUUUAAAAAUGUUGUCUCCCCCAGUCUGUGAACUAUUUGAGAGUAGGAAUUGUCUUUUGCCUCUCUUGGUAUCCCUGGACCUUUGCAUAGUGCCUGACACUUAACAGGCACCAAAUAAAUACCUAUCAAUUGAAUAAAAUCAAUCUAUUUUCUUGGA